UGAGUACGAGCUGCUACGGCAGCGAAGUGGGUGAUGUCAUGCUUCCAAGAAAAGCCCUAUACCCGUUAAGGCAUGAUGGCCUGUACCCGAAACCGACACAGGUGGGGUGGUAGAGAAUACCGAGGGGCGCGAGGUAACUCUCUCUAAGGAACUCGGCAAAAUGGCCCCGUAACUUCGGGAGAAGGGGUGCCACCGCAAGGUGGUCGCAGUGAAGAGGCCCAGGCGACUGUUUACCAAAAACACAGGUCUCCGCUAAGUCGCAAGACGAUGUAUGGGGGCUGACGCCUGCCCAGUGCCGGAAGGUUAAGGAAGCUGGUCAGCGUAAGCGAAGCUAGCGACUGAAGCCCCGGUGAACGGCGGCCGUAACGAUAACGGUCCUAAGGUAGCGAAAUUCCUUGUCGGGUAAGUUCCGACCCGCACGAAAGGCGUAACGAUCUGGGCGCUGUCUCGGAGAGAGGCUCGGCGAAAUAGAAUUGUCUGUGAAGAUGCGGACUACGUGCACCCGGACAGAAAGACCCUAUGAAGCUUUACUGUAGCUUGGUAUUGUGCUCGGGCUCGGAAUGCGCAGGAUAGGUGGGAGGCUAUGAACCAUUGCUUGCGGGUGAUGGUGAGCCACUGGUGAGAUACCACUCUUUCCGAGCUAGAGUUCUAACAGCCACCCGUUAUCCGGGGGCUGGACAGUAUCAGGUGGGCAGUUUGACUGGGGCGGUCGCCUCCUAAAAGGUAACGGAGGCGCGCAAAGGUUUGCUCAGGCUGGUUGGAAAUCAGCCGACGAGUGUAAAAGCAGAAGCAAGCUUGACUGUGAGACCUACAAGUCGAACAGGGAGGAAACUCGGCUUUAGUGAUCCGACGGUUCUGCGUGGAAGGGCCGUCGCUCAACGGAUAAAAGUUACUCUAGGAUAACAGGCUGAUCUCCCCCAAGAGUUCACAUCGACGGGGAGGUUUGGCACCUCGAUGUCGGCUCAUCGCAACCUGGGGCUGAAGUCGGUCCCAAGGGUUGGGCUGUUCGCCCAUUAAAGCGGUACGCGAGCUGGGUUCAGAACGUCGUGAGACAGUUCGGUCCAUAUCCGGUGCAUGCGCAGGAAUAUUGAGAGGAUUUCUCCCUAGUACGAGAGGACCGGGAGGAACGCACCUCUGGUGUACCAGUUAUCGUGCCAACGGUAAACGCUGGGUAGCCAUGUGCGGAGAGGAUAACCGCUGAAAGCAUCUAAGUGGGAAGCCCACCUCAAGAUGAGUAUUCCCAUGGGGUAACCCAGUAAGGUCACGGGAAGAACACCCGUUGAUAGGCUCUACGUGGAAGCGCAGUAAUGUGUGAAGCGGAGGAGUACUAAUAGACCGAGGGCUUG
rnacentral:rRNA from 1 species